rnacentral:ncRNA from 1 species
ACCGCAAGAACCUUGGCGAUAUACGGGAUAAGCGGCAGGUUCAGGAUCAGAAGGAUCACAUUGCCGAUAUACAUGGAGAUGAUCACCGCCCAGAAGAUCUGAGGAUCAUCGACCAUGAGGCGAGGGCC